rnacentral:rRNA from 1 species
AUUGAACGCUGGCGGCAGGCCUAACACAUGCAAGUCGAGCGGAUGAAGGGAGCUUGCUCCUGGAUUCACCGGCGGACGGGUAAGUCAUGCCUAGGAAUCUGCCUGGUAGUGGGGGAUAACGUCAGGAAACGGGCGCUAAUACCGAAUACGACCCGCGGGAGAAAGUGGGGGAGCUUCGGUCUUCAGGCUAUCAGGUGAGCCUAGGCCGGAUGAGCUAGUGGGUGGGGUAAAGGCCUACCAGGGCGACCAUCCGUAACUGGUCUGAGAGGGUGAUCAGUCACACUAGAGCGGAGACACGGUCCCGGCGCCUACGGGAGGCAGCAGUCGGGAAUAGUGGACAAUGGGCGAAAGCCUUAUCCAGCCAUGCCGCGUGUGUUGAGGAGGUCUUCGGAUUGUAAAGCACUUUAAGUUGGGGGGAAGGGCAGUAAGUCAAUACCUUGCUGUUUUGACGUUACCAACAGAAUAAGCACCGGCUAACUUCGUG